rnacentral:rRNA from 1 species
GACGAACGCUGGCGGCGUGCUUAACACAUGCAAGUCGAACGAAGUGGCGAACGGGUGAGUAACGCGUAAUCAACCUGCCCUUCAGAGGGGGACAACAGUUGGCAACGACUGCUACUACCGCACACUGAAGGAGGGGAUUGCGUCUGAUUAGCUAGUUGGAGGGGUAACGGCCCACCAAGGCGAUGAUCAGUAGCCGGUAGGGGGGGAUGACCGGCCACAGUGGGACUGAGACACGGCCCCGACUCCUACGGGAGGCAGCAGGGGGGAAUCUUCCGCAAUGGACGAAAGUCUGACGGAGCAACGCCGCGUGAGUGAUGACGGCCUUCGGGUUGUAAAGCUCUGUUAAUCGGGACGCGGUACCGGAAUAGAAAGCCACGGCUAACUACGUGCCAGCAGCCGCGGUAAUUC